rnacentral:rRNA from 1 species
UACAGAGGUCCCAAGCGUUGUUCGGAUUCACUGGGUUUAAAGGGUGCGUAGGUGGGCAGGUAAGUCAGUGGUGAAAUCUCCGGGCUUAACUCGGAAACUGCCGUUGAUACUAUCUGUCUUGAAUAUCGUGGAGGUUAGCGGAAUAUGUCAUGUAGCGGUGAAAUGCUUAGAUAUGACAUAGAACACCCAUUGCGAAGGCAGCUAACUACACGAUCAUUGACACUGAGGCACGAAAGCGUGGGGAGCAAACAGG